UUACCGUGAUAAAGGAAAUCAGUUUUAGACCUCGGUGUUUCUGAAGUGGGGGCUAACCCACGGAUAAGAAGACAACAUCUGUGGAGAAGUAGAAAGCUCCUUCAGAUGACUUGAGUCUCUCCUGAGAAUUAUUUAGUGACCGAAGUAUUGGAGAUUCAGCGUCAGUCCUCCUAAUGAAUAUUCAGAGUUGAUUUCCUUCAGGAUUGACUGGUUUGAUCUCCUGGCUGUUCAAGGGACUUUAAAGAGUCUUCUCCAGCACCAUAAUUAUCUCCUCUCCAUUAGAAUUGCCAGCUUGCAUCUCUCGUGCUGUGACCCACUCCCUCCUCAGCCCCAAGUGUGGCGUGGGCCUUUCUCCUGGCCGUGGGGCAAGGCUGAAGUGCCAAGCCCAUGGCU